GCACCGCCGGCCUCAGGACCAAGCCCACCACCAGCGGGCGUUGACGGAGGCGGGUGUGCGGCUCUGGCGCAGCUGAGCCGUCGACCGCCGGAGCCAAUCCGGCAGUCCGGCAUUUCAGCUGCCGCACACUCGCCCGUCACAGGAUCAGAGGCCUCCCCAGACAGCUUCCCGUUUCCGACCGGCUGAUACGGGUGAGCGGCGGCGGCGCAGCUGGGACGGUGAAAUACAACACACCGCUCUGGUGGUCAGAGACCAAUGUGACGCUCUGUUCAGUCGUUUGUGGCGCAGUUUGACGGUUUUAGUUCAAAAUUAAAUGAGAUCCUAUUGAGGGGUUGGCAUAAGCUUUACUCUUCUGCAUUUCCAAUAUUGAUUCAAUGAUAGGAUCUCAAGGAUAGGAUAUCUCGUAGACGUCCUGUACUUUGUAGAUUACUCAAAACUUUGUAGAUUUUGUGACAGAUAACGAAUUACAUCGAUAUGC